UCACCUUGACUGAUUUUUCUAUUCCCUGUUCACCUCUUCAUGACAUUUGGCAGGUCACUUGAUAUAAAAUAUGCAAACAGUGAACUGAAAUAGCCCAAAUAUGCUGAAAUAYGCUGACUGAACCUGCUGUCUUAAAGUGGCUAUGCAUCUUUGAGCAGAGCUUGUGCAUACAAACCUACCUCUUAUGAACAUGGGGAUUACCUAUUCAAACUCUCCUGACAUGAUAGUUUCUAAAAACAUAAGAAGAAAAGAACAGUGAGAAGGAAGAAAGGCAGUAAUAGAGAAAUUAAAGGACUGAAGAAAGCAAGUAAAGGAAAAUCAGGACAUUUUCAGGCAGCCAGAUGCACUGUGGCCGGUGGCUGCAUAAUCAUCUGCAGAGUAGAAAGGGUGACAUGAAGGAGGAAUGAAUGGGGAAGACUUCUUAAACUAGCUGAAGAAGUACCAUCUCCAAGUGGGUAGUCACAGAUUGAG
rnacentral:lncRNA from 1 species